GAUGAACGCUGGCGGCGUGCCUAAUACAUGCAAGUCGAGCGAACGGACGAUAAGCUUGCUUCUCUGAUGUUAGCGGCGGACGGGUGAGUAACACGUGGAUAACCUACCUAUAAGACUGGGAUAACUUCGGGAAACCGGAGCUAAUACCGGAUAAUAUUUUGAACCGCAUGGUUCAAAAGUGAAAGACGGUCUUGCUGUCACUUAUAGAUGGAUCCGCGCUGCAUUAGUUAGUUGGUAAGGUAACGGCCUACCAAGGCAACGAUGCAUAGCCGACCUGAGAGGGUGAUCGGCCACACUGGAACUGAGACACGGUCCAGACUCCUACGGGAGGCAGCAGUAGGGAAUCUUCCGCAAUGGGCGAAAGCCUGACGGAGCAACGCCGCGUGAGUGAUGAAGGUCUUCGGAUCGUAAAACUCUGUUAUUAGGGAAGAACAGAUGUGUAAGUAACUGUGCACAUCUUGACGUUACCUAAUCAGAAAGCCACGGCUAACUACGUG
rnacentral:rRNA from 1 species